CUAUUUAAUAAAGGAAAUAAAGUAUCGAUUAGACGAGAAUACAAAAUAAAAGAAAAUAGAACAGAUAUAAUAGGAAAAUGAGACAAAAGAAACUCUUUAGAAAUUUAUUAUCAAGAAAUUCAACUUUCUAUCAUCUUCAUCGUGAAAUUACCACAAAGAAGACGAGGUGUAAACUUUCCCAGCAACACGUUUAAAUAUUUAUCUUAAAGAACGACUUAUGCUCUUAAUAAUGAGCGACGAAUUUUUAAGAGGAUACGAUAGAACGGAUAUGUUUUCAAGAAGAAGUAACCGGCACGAUUUCAAAGUUGUAAAAGCUGGAGGAUCCGUUUGAGCGGACCGCUUUGUGUCCCGCGAUAAAAAGUGUUUCAAGCAGGUAAAACAUUCCUACUGAAGCGAUUCUACCUGAUCCACCUGGCUUUCACACUACAUUUUCGACCACAGUUUCUUCUUAUGUAUAUUCUUGGAAGAACAAUAUAUUCGAAAGCUAAGAGCGUACAUAUUUGAUUGAUCGACGAAUUAUCUUCGAAAGAAAAUCCGAGGAGGAUCCUAAGUUGACUGGGAGUAUUGAAGAAAGUCGUCAAAAUUGCAGCUUAAGAACCUAAUAUCGACGGCUUUCGAGAAGAGGCUUGGAUAUUACAUAUUGCUAUAAAAUUUUAGAAACGGAACUUGACUAUCAUAGAUAUAUAUUGUAUCAUAGAUAAUUUUGAAGAACAGGAAAUGCAUGAUGAGACUGUUUCUUUGCUGGACAUCCGGUUCACCACGCGCACUGCGUGUGUCUUAUUUGACGUCACACACACACCUGCUUCCUCACAGCUGUUCUCCAAUCCGUGGUGGGAAGUAUCGCAGUGGGAGCUACGACCAUCCCUCGACAAAACGUAUUUAAUGAAUACAUAAAGGGGAAAUAUUGAAAUAUUUUUAAUAUAUAUAUAAACAU